AAAGUCUCACUUGACUUUUCAUUUUCUACAAACCCAUCCUCUCUCUUCAUCUUCGAAAUCUAGAGUGAGAUAGAGAGAAAAAUAAAGCUAUGUUAGCCUCUUAUCAAGCCAAGAACAGCAACCAAAAGUCAGAAUCAAAAAUCAAACUCUAAAGAGGUAUAAACCCUAAUUUUCGAAAUCCUUAGAUCUGUUGUUAGAUGUUGU
rnacentral:lncRNA from 1 species